rnacentral:tRNA from 1 species
GCGCCUGUAGCUCAGUGGACAGAGCAGCGGACUUCUAAUCCGCGGGUCGCAGGUUCGAAUCCUGCCAGGCGCA